GUAGGUGAACCUGCAGAAGGAUCAUUAGUGAAGAUUUGGGCAGGCCAUACGGACGCCACAAAGUGUCCCUGGCCGCCUACACCCACUAUACAUCCACAAACCCGUGUGCACUGUCCUUGGAAAGGGCAUUUGGAGAGAAAAAGGAGGAGAAGCGAGAACAGUGCGAUCCGUCGCGUUGGGCGUUGAUCUCUGACUUGGUCUCUCUGAGGCCCUCUCCUCGCUACAAACUCGAAUGGUUAGUAUGAACGUGGAACUUGGUUGGACCGUCACUGGCCAACAAACUAUACACAACUUUCGACAACGGAUCUCUUGGUUCUC
rnacentral:misc_RNA from 1 species